rnacentral:rRNA from 1 species
CCUACGGGAGGCAGCAGUAGGGAAUCUUUCACAAUGGGCGAAAGCCUGAUGGAGCAACGCCGCGUGCAGGAUGAAGGCCUUCGGGUUGUAAACUGCUUUUAUAAGCGAGAAAUAUGAUGUUAACUUAUGAAUAAGGAUCGGCUAACUACGUGCCAGCAGCCGCGGUCAUACGUAGGAUCCGAGCAUUAUCCGGAGUGACUGGGUGUAAAGAGUUGCGUAGGUGGCAUAAUAAGUAGCUAGUGAAAUCUGGUGGCUCAACCAUUCAGACUAUUAGCUAAACUGUUAAGCUCGAGACCGUUAGGGGUAACUGGAAUUUCUAGUGUAGGAGUGAAAUCCGUAGAUAGUAGAAGGAACACCAAUAGCGUAGGCAGGUUGCUGGGACGGUUCUGACACUAAGGCACGAAAGCGUAGGGAGCAAACGGGAUUAGAUACCCUUGUAGUC